GAUGAACGCUAGCUACAGGCUUAACACAUGCAAGUCGAGGGGCAGCAGGGAUUUAGCUUGCUAAAUCCGCUGGCGACCGGCGCACGGGUGCGUAACGCGUAUCCAACUUUCCCGUUACUCAGGGAUAGCCUUCCGAAAAGGGGAGAUUAAUACCUGAUGGUGUUUGAAGUUCGCAUGUUCUUCAAACUAAAGAUUUAUCGGUAACGGAUAGGGAUGCGUGACAUUAGAUAGUAGGCGGGGUAACGGCCCACCUAGUCUACGAUGUCUAGGGGUUCUGAGAGGAAGGUCCCCCACACUGGAACUGAGACACGGUCCAGACUCCUACGGGAGGCAGCAGUGAGGAAUAUUGGUCAAUGGUCGGAAGACUGAACCAGCCAAGUAGCGUGAAGGAUGAAGGUUCUAUGGAUUGUAAACUUCUUUUAUACGGGAAUAAAGCCCACUACGUGUAGUGGUUUGUAUGUACCGUAUGAAUAAGCAUCGGCUAACUCCGUG
rnacentral:rRNA from 1 species